rnacentral:rRNA from 1 species
AACGGCCGCGGUACCCUAACCGUGCAAAGGUAGCGUAAUCACUUGUCUAUUAAUUGUAGGCCUGUAUGAAAGGCAAAAUGAGGGCCUAACUGUCUCUUGUAGUACGUCAAUUAAACUGAUCUUCUAGUCCAAAAGCUAGAAUACCCCCAUAAGACCAGAAGACCCUGUGAAGCUUAAACUAAACUAUUAAACCCUAUAAUAGCUCCUUUCGGUUGGGGCGACCUUGGAAAAAAAAAGAACUUCCAAUGCAGGAUCCUAUAAAUUCCACCGGGCCGACAGGCCACUAAUAGACCCAGCAAGCUGACAAUUGAACCAAGUUACUCCAGGGAUAACAGCGCUAUCUUCUUCAAGAGCCCAUAUCAAAAAGAAGGUUUACGACCUCGAUGUUGGAUCAGGACAUCCUGAUGGUGCAGCCGCUAUCAAAGGUUCGUUUGUUCAACGAUUAAUAGUCCUACGUGAUCUGAGUUCAGACCGGA